GCUUACGGCCACACCUCCCUGAGCACGCCCGAUCUCGGAAGCUAAGCAGGGUCGGGCCAGGUUAGUCCUUGGAUGGGAGACUGCCUGGGAAUACCAGGUGCUGUAAGCC
rnacentral:rRNA from 1 species